UACGUAGGGUGCGAGCGUUAAUCGGAAUUACUGGGCGUAAAGCGUGCGCAGGCGGUUCGCCAAGUCAGGUGUGAAAUCCCCGGGCUUAACCUGGGAAUUGCGCUUGAAACUAGCGGGCUUGAGUGUGGCAGAGGGGGGUGGAAUUCCACGUGUAGCAGUGAAAUGCGUAGAGAUGUGGAGGAACACCGAUGGCGAAGGCAGCUUACCAAGCAGUAACUGACGCUGAGGCACGAAAGUGCGGGGAUCAAACAGG
rnacentral:rRNA from 1 species